rnacentral:rRNA from 1 species
AAAUGAAUAGACGGGGACCCGCACAAGCAGAGGAGCAUGUGGUUUAAUUCGAUGGUAAGCGAGAAACCUCACCUAGGUUUGAAAUGUAGCUGCAAGCCGAAAGAAACUUUGGCCGCCUUCGAGGGUGCUACACAGGUGCUGCAUGGUUGCCGUCAGCUCGUGUCGUGAGAUGUACCGUUAAGUCGGGUAACGAGCGCAACCCCCGUCCCAUGUUGUUUUUUCAUGGGAGACCGCCUCGGAUAACGGGGAGGAAGGUGGGGAUGACGUCAAAUCAGCAUGGCUCUUACACCUAGGGCUACACACGUGCUACAAUGGCCAUGACAAUGGGCUGCCAAGUCGCAAGACGGAGCUAAUCCCACCAAACAUGGCCCCAGUUCGGAUUGGGGGCUGCAAUUCGCCCCCAUGAAGCCGGAUUUGCUAGUAAACGCGUAUCAGCAUCGGCGCGUUGAAUACGUUCUCGGGUCUUGUACACACCGCCCGU